ACGAUGUAAACAGAACAGAGCAGCUGAGCCCUCCAGGUGGGCUCCAGGUGCGAUCUGCACAGACCGCGCGUGUGGGAGGCAUGGAGUCAGAGGUGCAUCCUCAAAAUGCAUCCCCCCGUCUCCUGCAGGGCGCUCAGGCCCCAGGGCCCCGUGGACAGAGCUGGUCCCAGCGUACGCACGCCACUUCCUGGGCUUGGCCGGUGGUACGCCAGAGGCUGCCCAUAGCAGGAAACCCCCGCAGAGGCCAGGGCCUCUUGUUCCACUUGGCAGAGACCCCAGAGAGAGCCAGGGGGCAGCAUCAGAGCCUGGGGCCCUGGCAGGGGUGCCCAAGGGCACGGCAGCUGCAGGUAUUGACAAGGCCAGAAGACGGCCCUCUGUGCAUGCCAUGCUUAAUAAGGUAAUAAAAAGGUAAGAUUAUAAAGAAGGAAGAGGCCUAUCAAGGAAAGAAGGCUCUUUAUUUGCUUUGCUGUCAUGGUAUCCUUCCCAUUCCACUGGCUUCCAGCACAUAUGUGGGAUGUACUUCUUGGGAUUCUCCAAAUACUCCAUCAGUGUAUCCUCUCCCCAGAUGAUGCAUUUGUUCUUAUUGGCGGCUGUGUAAGAGUAUCCAGGGGCCUGACCUGUCUUCCACCUGAAAAGACCAUGGAGAUUUGGCCCAAUCUUGUGCUUUCCUCCCUUUUCAACAGUGUGGCACUGGGAACACUUCAUAAUAAAAAUCUUCUUGCCUUUCUCAACAUCACCCAUAUUUAAUUCUCUUUUUAGUCACUGGCG
rnacentral:lncRNA from 1 species